rnacentral:lncRNA from 1 species
GCCUAAGGUUCUACAUAUACUUAAGUUUUAUCUCAACUUUGGAUCUCUCAAAUUUAAAAGUAUUUACUACUUACUCAAUUAAGUUCACAGAUGCAUCAUUAUGCAAAUGAUAGAAAUUAUCUCUAAGAACUAAAUCGAAACGAUAAUCUCAAAGGAUAGAUGCCCAUGGCCAAAGUAGCAACUCUUGCCCUAUUGCCAAUUAUAAAGAUUACUUCCUUAGACCUCUACCU